AAAAGCUUAUAUGACAAGCUUUGCAUCUUAUCCCAAAUUGCCUUUACUUCUUUUACAAUUCUCAUUAUCUCUUUCUCUUCCCCCACUCUUCUCUCAUUCUUUCUUUUUCCAUGUUGUUAUUUUCUCUUCUCUAAAUAUUUUAUCUCUUUUUCUUUCUUCAUCAUAUUUUCUCCAAUUUAUUUUACUCACUCCUCACUGUUUCUUCUGCAAUCUAAAUACAUAUAAACUCAAUUUUAACUCUAUUUUUUCUCCAUCAUCUUCUUAAUAUUUGUUGAUCUUUUCAGGUUCUAGAUCCACCGAAGACGGAAACAAGUAGUAAAUCAACCUCAAAAACAAGAAACAGGUCAUAGAUCUGCCAAAGACGGAAAUGAGAAGUAAAAAAAAUUGAAAAACAAGAAACAAGUUAAUAAUUUUAAGUUGAUUUUUUUUAAUGUUUAGAGUGUAGAUCUACAAGUAUAUUUUCUAUCCAGAUCUGUAAUUUUAAAACAAAACUACAAUGUCGGAAACAAGUAUAUUUAUUUUUUAUCA